GAUGAACGCUGGCGGCGUGCCUAAUACAUGCAAGUCGAGCGAACGGACGAGAAGCUUGCUUUUCUGAUGUUAGCGGCGGACGGGUGAGUAACACGUGGAUAACCUACCUAUAAGACUGGGAUAACUUCGGGAAACCGGAGCUAAUACCGGAUAAUAUUUUGAACCGCAUGGUUCAAAAGUGAAAGACGGUCUUGCUGUCACUUAUAGAUGGAUCCGCGCUGCAUUAGCUAGUUGGUAAGGUAACGGCUUACCAAGGCAACGAUGCAUAGCCGACCUGAGAGGGUGAUCGGCCACACUGGAACGGAGACGGGGUCCAGACGCCUACGGGAGGCAGCAGUAGGGAAUCUGCCGCAAUGGGCGAAAGCCUGACGGAGCAACGCCGCGUGAGAGAUGAAGGUCUUCGGAUCGUAAAGCUCUGUUAUUAGGGAAGAACAUAUGUGUAAGUAACUGUGCACAUCUUGACGGUACCUAAUCAGAAAGCCACGGCUAACUACGUG
rnacentral:rRNA from 1 species